UAGGGAAUCUUCGGCAAUGGACGGAAGUCUGACCGAGCAACGCCGCGUGAGUGAAGAAGGUUUUCGGAUCGUAAAGCUCUGUUGUAAGAGAAGAACGAGUGUGAGAGUGGAAAGUUCACACUGUGACGGUAUCUUACCAGAAAGGGACGGCUAACUACGUGCCAGCAGCCGCGGUAAUACGUAGGUCCCGAGCGUUGUCCGGAUUUAUUGGGCGUAAAGCGAGCGCAGGCGGUUAGAUAAGUCUGAAGUUAAAGGCUGUGGCUUAACCAUAGUACGCUUUGGAAACUGUUUAACUUGAGUGCAAGAGGGGAGAGUGGAAUUCCAUGUGUAGCGGUGAAAUGCGUAGAUGUAUGGAGGAACACCGGUGGCGAAAGCGGCUCUCUGGCUUGUAACUGACGCUGAGGCUCGAAAGCGUGGGGAGCAAACAGGAUUAGAUACCCUGGUAGUCCACGCCGUAAACGAUGAGUGCUAGGUGUUAGACCCUUUCCGGGGUUUAGUGCCGCAGCUAACGCAUUAAGCACUCCGCCUGGGGAGUACGACCGCAAGGUUG
rnacentral:rRNA from 1 species